rnacentral:rRNA from 1 species
CAGCCGUAAACUAUGCUCGCUAGGUGUCAGGCAUGGCGCGACCGUGUCUGGUGCCGCAGGGAAGCCGUGAAGCGAGCCACCUGGGAAGUACGGCCGCAAGGCUGAAACUUAAAGGAAUUGGCGGGGGAGCAUAACAACGGGUGGAGCCUGCGGUUUAAUUGGACUCAACGCCGGACAACUCACCGGGAACGACAGCAAUAUGUAGGCCAGGCUGAAGACCUUGCCUGAAUCGCUGAGAGGUGGUGCAUGGC